rnacentral:rRNA from 1 species
UACAGAGGUCUCAAGCGUUGUUCGGAUUCAUUGGGCGUAAAGGGUGCGUAGGUGGCGUCGUAAGUCAGGUGUGAAAUCUCGGAGCUUAACUCCGAAACUGCAUUUGAUACUGCGGUGCUUGAGGACUGGAGAGGAGACUGGAAUUUACGGUGUAGCAGUGAAAUGCGUAGAGAUCGUAAGGAAGACCAGUGGCGAAGGCGGGUCUCUGGGCCGAUACUGACGCUGAGGAGCGAAAGCGUGGGGAGCGAACAGG